UACGGGAGGCAGCAGUGGGGAAUAUUGCACAAUGGGCGCAAGCCUGAUGCAGCCAUGCCGCGUGUAUGAAGAAGGCCUUCGGGUUGUAAAGUACUUUCAGUCGUGAGGAAGGUGUUAAGGUUAAUAACCUUAGCAAUUGACGUUAGCGACAGAAGAAGCACCGGCUAACUCCGUGCCAGCAGCCGCGGUAAUACGGAGGGUGCGAGCGUUAAUCGGAAUUACUGGGCGUAAAGGGCACGCAGGCGGUUAAUUAAGUUGGAUGUGAAAUCCCCGGGCUUAACCUGGGAAUGGCAUUCAAGACUGGUUAGCUAGAGUCUUGUAGAGGGGGUAGAAUUCCAUGUGUAGCGGUGAAAUGCGUAGAGAUGUGGAGGAAUACCGGUGGCGAAGGCGGCCCCUGGCAAAGACUGACGCUCAUGUGCGAAAGCUGGGGAGCAAAC
rnacentral:rRNA from 1 species